UACAGAGGUCUCAAGCGUUGUUCGGAUUCAUUGGGCGUAAAGGGUGCGUAGGCGGCGCGGUAAGUCGGGUGUGAAAUCUCGGGCUUAACUCCGAAACUGCAUUCGAUACUGCCGUGCUUGAGGACUGGAGAGGAGACUGGAAUUUACGGUGUAGCGUGAAAUGCGUAGAUAUCGUAAGGAAGACCAGUGGCGAAGGCGGGGUCUC
rnacentral:rRNA from 1 species